GAUGAACGCUGGCGGCGUGCUUAACACAUGCAAGUCGAACGAUGAAAGCGGGAGCUUGCUCCUGCUGGAUUAGUGGCGAACGGGUGAGUAACACGUGAGCAAUCUGCCCCGAACUCUGGGAUAAGCGUUGGAAACGACGUCUAAUACCGGAUACGACGCGCGAAGGCAUCUUCUGCGCGUGGAAAGAACUUCGGUUCGGGAUGAGCUCGCGGCCUAUCAGCUAGUUGGUGAGGUAACGGCCCACCAAGGCGACGACGGGUAGCCGGCCUGAGAGGGGGACCGGCCACCCUGGGACUGGGACACGGCCCAGACUCCUACGGGAGGCAGCAGUGGGGAAUAUUGCACAAUGGGCGCAAGCCUGAUGCAGCAACGCCGCGUGAGGGACGGCGGCCUUCGGGUUGUAAACCUCUUUUAGUAGGGAAGAAGCGAAAGUGACGGUACCUGCAGAAAAAGCACCGGCUAACUACGUGCCAGCAGCCGCCGUAAGAC
rnacentral:rRNA from 1 species